GGCCAAUAUUCAUCCACACACUGCGGCGGUGGGACAAAACAUCGCCACCGCAGUCUUCAUCCUACCCAACUGCCCAAUCACAACCGUUCUGCCUCUGACAAUUCCCAGUCCGAUUUCUUCUCCCUUAUGAAUUCAGAUGAAGAUGAGUCACCGAUUCCGUUUGUUUUCGGCAACCGAGAUUAUACGGAUGAUCUUCCUGAUGAAUGUUUGGCUUUGAUUUUUCAGUGCUUGAGUUCCGGUGACCGGAAAAAGUGUUCCCUUGUCUCCAGGAGAUGGCUUUUGGUGGAGGGUCAAAG
rnacentral:misc_RNA from 1 species